GAUGUGCCAUUAACAGCAAGGAGGAUUGUGUUAAAAUCUGCCUGCCAGAAGUGGAGGGAGUUCAAGAGCCGUUUAACAACGAAUUAUAUUCUACCUUUUCGUGAACAACCUGAGUUGCUUGCACAUCCACCGGCAGACUAUACAUUUAUUGAAAAGCCACAUUGGGACAUUUUUGUUGCCGAUCGUUUAUCUAAAGAUUUUCUAGAAAUACACAAUAAGCAGAAAGGUAGAAGGAGCUUGAAUCUAUAUGGUCACUACAUGUCUCGGAAGGGUUAUGCCAACUUGGAACAAGAAAUUUCUGGUGGUGAUCCUGAAAUGGAGAUAGACCGGGCAAGUACAUGGCUCCUUGCACGGUGUGAUAAAGCUGGGAAGUAUAAGUCGAAAAAAAUUGAGACCAUUGCUGAAGAUAUUG